rnacentral:rRNA from 1 species
ACGGCGAGUGAAGCGGCAACAGCUCAAAUUUGAAAUCUGGCUCUUUCAGAGUCCGAGUUGUAAUUUGCAGAGGGCGCUUUGGCAUUGGCAGCGGUCCAAGUUCUUUGGAACAGGACGUCACAGAGGGUGAGAAUCCCGUACGUGGUCGCUAGCCUUUGCCGUGUAAAGCCCCUUCGACGAGUCGAGUUGUUUGGGAAUGCAGCUCUAAAUGGGAGGUAAAUUUCUUCUAAAGCUAAAUACUGGCCAGAGACCGAUAGCGCACAAGUAGAGUGAUCGAAAGAUGAAAAGCACUUUGGAAAGAGAGUCAAAUAGCACGUGAAAUUGUUGAAAGGGAAGCGCUUGCAGCCAGACUUGCCUGUAGUUGCUUAUCUGGACUUUUGUCCAGUGCACUCUUCUGCGGGCAGGCCAGCAUCAGUUUGGGCGGUUGGAUAAAGGUCUCUGUCAUGUACCUCUCUUCGGAGAGGCCUUAUAGGGGAGACGACAUGCAACCAGCCUGGACUGAGGUCCGCGCAUUUGCUAGGAUGCUGGCGUAAUGGCUGUAAGCGGCCCGUCUUGAAACACGGACCAAGGAGUCUAACAUCUAUGCGAGUGUUUGGGUGUCAAGCCCAGACGCGUAAUGAAAGUGAACGGAGGUGGGAACCCUUUGGGUGCACCAUCGACCGAUCCUGAUGUCUUCGGAAGGAUUUGAGUAAGAGCAUGGCUGUUGGGACCCGAAAGAUGGUGAACUAUGCUUGAAUAGGGUGAAGCCAGAGGAAACUCUGGUGGAGGCUCGCAGCGGUUCUGACGUGCAAAUCGAUCGUCAAAUUUGGGCAUAGGGGCGAAAGACU